rnacentral:rRNA from 1 species
UACGCGGUAUGCAAACGUUAUCCGGAAUUAUUGGGCGUAAAGCGUUUGUAGGCGGGCGAGUGUGUUUAAUGUUAAAUCUUAAAGCUCAACUUUGAAAUUGCGUUAAAAACUGCUUGUCUUGAGUAUGGUAGGGGUAAAGGGAAUUCCCAGUGUAGCGGUGAAAUGCGUAGAUAUUGGGAAGAACACUAAACAGCGAAGGCACUUUACUAGGCUAAUACUGACGCUGAGAAACGAAAGGUAAGGUAGCGAAACGGAUUAGAUACCCGUGUAGUCUUACCCGUAAACUAUGGACACUAAACGGUAAAUUUUUAAUUUACUGUUAAAGCUAACGCGUUAAGUGUCCCGCCUGGGGAGUAUGCUUGCAAAAGUGAAACUCAAAGGAAUUGACGGGGGCCCGCACAAGCGGUGGAGCAUGUGGUUUAAUUCGACGGUACACGAAGAACCUUACCAGGAUUUGACAUGCUAGAUAGUUGCUUGAAAGAGUAACGUGCCGUAAGGAAUCUAGACACAGGUGGUGCAUGGCUGUCGUCAGUUCGUGUUGUGAAAUGUUGGGUUAAGUCCCGCAACGAACGCAACCCUUGUCUUUAGUUAUUUUCUAAAGAGACUGCCUGUAAUAAACAGGAGGAAGGUAAGGAUGAGGUCAAGUCAUCAUGCCCCUUAUGUCCUGGGCUACACACGUGCUACAAUGGGAAAGACAAUGAGCUGCAAAUCUGUAAAUUUAAGCAAAUCUCUUAAACUUUCUCGUAGUUCGGAUUGUGGGCUGCAACUCGCCCACAUGAAGUUGGAAUCGCUAGUAAUCGCCAGUCAGCUAUAUGGCGGUGAAUCCGUUCCCGGGCCU